CCUGCCUUGGAGCCAACUGAAUGUGGACUGAAACCUCCAAAAACUGUAAGAAAUAAACCUUUCCUUUCCCAACUUGGGCAUCAGGUAUUUUGUCUCAGCAACGAGCAUAAAGUAACUAAGACAACAUGAGAACAUUUGCCUUGAAAGUAACAGAAUAUGCCUGCAGAAAUACACCAAAUGGAGAACUGAGGAGUCCAACCAGCACCGAAAGACCAUAGGGAAGGCCAACAAUAACAACUUCCUUACCUCCAAAGAAGUACUUCUCGCCAGUUUUCACUUGCAGAGGACUGUUCGUUCGGACCGCUGAUGCUUCAUCUCCAUCAAUCGUGAGAAUAGCAAAAUUCUCCUUGGCUAAGAAACGAACCUCAUGCCACUGUCCAUCAUUCAAUCCAGAACCUGGGAGGUGCAAAAUAAAACUUGC